rnacentral:rRNA from 1 species
GACGAACGCUGGCGGCGUGCUUAACACAUGCAAGUCGAACGGAAAGGCCCUGCUUUUGUGGGUUGCUCGAUUGGCGAACGGGUGAGUAACACGUGAGUAACCUGCCCUUGACUUUGGGAUAACUUCAGGAAACUGGGGCUAAUACCGGAUAGGAGCUCCUGCUGCAUGGUGGGGGUUGGAAAGUUUCGGCGGUUGGGGAUGGACUCGCGGCUUAUCAGCUUGUUGGUGGGGUAGUGGCUUACCAAGGCUUUGACGGGUAGCCGGCCUGAGAGGGUGACCGGCCACAUUGGGACUGAGAUACGGCCCAGACUCCUACGGGAGGCAGCAGUGGGGAAUAUUGCACAAUGGGCGGAAGCCUGAUGCAGCAACGCCGCGUGCGGGAUGACGGCCUUCGGGUUGUAAACCGCUUUCGCCUGUGACGAAGCGUGAGUGACGGUAAUGGGUAAAGAAGCACCGGCUAACUACGUG